rnacentral:lncRNA from 10 species
UUCAGAGCCAGAGCUUGGAACUGCUUAUCCUAUGCUGGGAGUUUCUUUUGCCAAGGGUUGUGUCUCCUGCUGGGAGUGCAAAUACAUCUACAUCACCUUCCAGGCAGGGAGGGAGAGGACUAAAAGACGGCACCAGCAAAUCACUUUAAGCAGGCAGCAAAACCACAAAAAUAAACCCUUGAAAAUGGGACUGAAUGACACGCCCACAUCACUGAUAAAUGCCAUUUUCAGCAGACUCAUCUCUUCGCCAGAGAGAUCAGUCAACUUGGACUCUUGUUACCAUCACAUUUGGCACCAGGGUUUCCCACGUGAGAAGCCAGCACCACCACCUUCAUCAAUAUCACCAUGACUUUCAUCGUCAUCACCAUUACAACCACCAUCAUUAAUAUCACCAUCACCUUCACGUAACUACCUCCACAACCACCAUUCUCAAUAUCACCAUCACCUUCAUUACCACCACUACAACCACCAUCAAUAUCACCAUCACCUUCAUCAUCACCACCACCACAACCACCAUCAAUAUCACCAUCACCUUCAUCACCACCACCAUCAUCAUCAAUAUCACUAUCACUUUCAUCAUCACCACCAGCACCACAACCACCAUCAAUAUCACCAUUACCUUCAUCAUCACCAUCACCUUCAUCACCACAACCACCAUCUCACAAUCACUUUCAUCAUCACCACCACCAUAACCAUCGUCAAUAUCACCAUCACCUUCAUCAUCACCACAACCACCAUCAACCAUAUCACCAUCACUUUCAUCAUCACCACCACCACAACCACCAUCAAUACCACCUUCAUCAUCACCACCACCACAAAUCACCAUCAUAUCACCCUCACUUUCAUCAUUACCACAAUCACCAUCAAUAUCACCAUCCCCUUCACCAUCACUACCAACACAGCCACCAUCAUCAAUAUCACCCUCAACUUUAUUAUCACCUCCACCAUCAGCAGCAGCAUCAACUUCAUCAUCACCAUCACCACCUCUGCCAUCAGCAGCAUCAUUAUUAUCUUCAUCAUCAUGGUUUCAGCCACAAUCGGAAUCAACAGCCGUCACCCAGAGUUGAAGGAGGAAGUGGGCUGAGAGAAGCUCUGCCUUCAUAGUUCCUGGGAGGCAUGAACUGGUUGCUGCAUGCUGAGCAUUUCAAACUGGCACACGGUGUCACCCACUCAGAGAACACCCCUGACCUUCCCAAGGAAGCCCUCUGCACUCCGACGCCAUAUACCCGUGAUCUGCACAGGACUGUCACCAUCUGGAAUUGAUUGCCUCUCUUCCCGUUUUGCUAUUGUCAUUUGCACCC